CAGCCGCCACGGGAAUACAGAGGGUGCAAGCGUUAAUCGGAUUUACUGGGCGUAAAGCGUGCGUAGGCGGCUAAUUGAGUCGGAUGUGAAAUCCCCGAGCUUAACUUGGGAAUUGCAUUCGAUACUGGUUAGCUAGAGUGUGGGAGAGGAUGGUAGAAUUCCAGGUGUAGCGGUGAAAUGCGUAGAGAUCUGGAGGAAUACCGAUGGCGAAGGCAGCCAUCUGGCCUAACACUGACGCUGAGGUACGAAAGCAUGGGGAGCAAACAGGAUUAGAUACCCCGGUAGUCCCUGUCUCUUAUAC
rnacentral:rRNA from 1 species